rnacentral:rRNA from 1 species
GAUGAACGCUGGCGGCGUGCCUAAUACAUGCAAGUCGAGCGAACAGACGAGGAGCUUGCUCCUCUGACGUUAGCGGCGGACGGGUGAGUAACACGUGGAUAACCUACCUAUAAGACUGGGAUAACUUCGGGAAACCGGAGCUAAUACCGGAUAAUAUAUUGAACCGCAUGGUUCAAUAGUGAAAGACGGUUUUGCUGUCACUUAUAGAUGGAUCCGCGCCGCAUUAGCUAGUUGGUAAGGUAACAGCUUACCAAGGCAACGAUGCGUAGCCGACCUGAGAGGGUGAUCGGCCACACUGGAACUGAGACACGGUCCAGACUCCUACGGGAGGCAGCAGUAGGGAAUCUUCCGCAAUGGGCGAAAGCCUGACGGAGCAACGCCGCGUGAGUGAUGAAGGUCUUCGGAUCGUAAAACUCUGUUAUUAGGGAAGAACAGAUGUGUAAGUAACUAUGCACGUCUUGACGGUACCUAAUCAGAAAGCCACGGCUAACUACGUG